rnacentral:misc_RNA from 1 species
GGAAGAGAUGAUUCUCAAGGCUUCCUCUAAACAUGAACUCAUAAACGAGCAAACGAUGGUCAUCCUCACAGCAAUACCCGAUCAACUUGACAAGAUUAGAAUGCCUAAGCUGUCCAAGAAAGUUGACCUCAGUAAGCCACUCACGGUGACCUUGAAGCCCCUCUUUGUUAAGUACUUUGACAGCAACCGGCAAAGACUUAAGUCCAACACGAACAUUCUCAUCAAUGUAGCCCUUGUAAACAGUUCCAAAACCACCCUCACCAAGUAUAUAAUCAGAUCGGAAGCUUUUAGUAAUUGUCUCCAGCUCAAAAAGAGUAAAUGCAAUUAUAUGAGUAUACAGUACAGCAUUCUUUCUAAAAUCCUCUAAGUUUCUCGGAGUCGAAGGAUCACUCAGAUCUGAUGUAGAACGACUAUGACUAUGUUUCUUUGAAUCAAUACCUAUCCUGCUUCCCAACGAUAACCCCUGCUGCUGCUGGACUUGAUGAUGAGCAUUGGAGACAACAGCAGAU